GGAUGUGAGGACGAUCUGGCUGCGACAUCUGUCACCCCGUUGAUCACCAGGGUUGAUUUGGCUGAUCUGGCUGGCUGGGUGGGGGUCCCCUUCUUCCCUCACCGCUACGUGUGCGUUUCUCCCGAAGCUGUGCUCCGUCGAAGAGGAAUACCAUCCCCACUAGAGAAGGACCAUUCUUAGUUAGGUCAAGUGUAUACCAGUAGCUGCACUCUCCUGCUAGAGCCUCUAAACAAGUUCUCUCUCUCUCUUUUUAAAAUUUUAAUUUUAAAGAUGUGGGGUACGGUUCAGGGUUAGAUAUUCAAAUGGUCAUUGUACAGGUAAAGUUUGGGCCUCACUUU
rnacentral:snRNA from 1 species